AUAUUGAAAUAUAUUGUCUGUGAUAAGCAUGAAAUGGAUAUAUUUCAUGAAUGUCUGAGAGUGUUUUUAGAUUAACAGCAAAAAAUGAGAAAUAUAGAUAAUUUGGAUCUUAAGUAGGGAAAUGAUUACAAAUAUGUUAAUUGGGAUCUAAAAUAAAGUGUUUGCAAUGAGAUGUUCACACAUGUGACCACGUUGCAGAUAUUAUAGCUAACAUAGAGUUAGUGUCAUACAAGGUAAUGGAUGUUACACGUGACAUGUCAUCUAACAUGGUAGGUUAUUUUUAAUGUUUCUCAAAAUCAAUAUUUGCAUGUUUAUCUCUUAUAUGCAAAUCUGUGUGCAUAUCUAAAUUGAUUGAUUUCUACUGAAUUUCAAUUAUCCACGUGUAUGUGAACAUUCUAGGAUAUUAAACGAGAAGUGGUAGAAGUCGCUGUUUGAAUUGAAAACAUUGAGAGCGGUUAAGCAAAUUACUGACUGAACUAAAUUGUCAGUAUAAUGUUAAGCAAAAUGAGGACUAUACUGUAGUGAAAAAUGUCUUUCAGGGAGUAUUGUGUAAAAAUCAAUUUGUAUUUAAUACAAUGUGGAAAUGAACAAUAAGUUUUUUGCAAAAGAGGUUCAAAGUGGCUGGUUUAACUGUGAUUUGGUCUCAUCAAAUUCCUGUGUUUUUGGAAUAGUCUGCAGAACAGCAUAAAAGAUUAUGUCAUGGAAUUGGGGAGAAAGGUUGCUGGUGGCAUAACAUUUCCCAUCUCGGACCUGACGAAAGGCGCAUCACAAAUUGAGGAAUUCGUUAGAAAGAAAGCACUGUUGAAAAAAAUCAUCUUGUGAAAAAAUGAACUUUUUUUUAUAUUUGCUCUGUGUGCCUCGCCCGGAUGAUGAGCACAAAGCGGUCCUUGACAAAGGAAAGCUGGAUUUGU